CGCACAUUGCGCCCCUCGGUAUUCCGUGGGGCAUGCCUGUUCGAGCGUCAUUUACACCCUCAAGCUCUGCUUGGUGUUGGGCGUCUGUCCCGCCUCGCGGCGUCGGACUCGCCUCAAAGUCAUUGGCAGCGGUCUCGCCGGCUUCUCGCGCAGCACAUUUGCGCUUCUCGGAGCCCGGCGGAUCGGCGUCCAGCAAGCACUUUCACGACUUGACCUCGGAUCAGGUAGGGAUACCCGCUGAACUUAA
rnacentral:misc_RNA from 1 species